UACGGGGGGAGCAAGCGUUGGUCGGAUUUACUGGGCGUAAAGGGCGCGUAGGCGGCCACCGCAAGUCGGUUGUGAAAUCUCUGGGCUUAACCCAGAAAGGUCAACCGAUACUGCGGGGCUAGAGUGCAGAAGGGGCAACUGGAAUUCUCGGUGUAGCGGUGAAAUGCGUAGAUAUCGAGAGGAACACCUGCGGCGAAGGCGGGUUGCUGGGCUGACACUGACGCUGAAGCGCGAAAGCUAGGGGAGCGAACGGG
rnacentral:rRNA from 1 species